CCACUUUUGGCUACCCUGUCGCAGGGACACUUGUCGGUCGAUGCUAAUCUACCGCCAACUGCCGCCUAUACCAGGGGGUAGCUUGUGGGAUCGAUUGAUCGCUCGGUUAGGGAUGCACCAGACGCGCGGCUCCUCCAUGUAUCUCAAUCAAGGCUUUCAUCAUGUUCAGUACGUGCGCAGUCAAUGUAAAUCUCCGAGUGAAUUGCCAGAACGUAGAAACGAACGAGGCAACACUCCUGCAAAGAGAACCGCUAUACCAAUGGCAGCUGAAGGGUCUUCGCUCCACCUUACAAGAAAUCAACAACAAUGAUCUUGUGCGCGUACGCCUUGAGUACUGAAUCUGCAAGAAGUGCUGGCGCUAUCUGAGCUGUAUCCUGCUGUGGAAAGUGGUUCGCGAUCAAACGCCACGACAGACGAUCGCAAACCGCUGUGAUUACGACCAUGUGUUUGUGGCCUUGUGAGUGCCUCUCAAGGAGUAGCUGUUUGCGAAGCGCAAGACCGUUUCAGCGGCAAGGCUUUAAAGUCAGACGCUCAAGUAUGUGCCUUUUAACGGCCCUCAGGGGCGUGUUUUCGGAAGAUCGAUAGCUCCAUCGUAGAAAAGUGACUGUCUGUGUACCAACAAAAACUGCUGCGGUUACCGGACAAUCAUUUGACACUCAGCAGAGCAGAAGCGAAGCCAUACUGUCCUUCGCAGCCGUAUCGCAAACUGGUCGAUGGCCUAGCACACAUAGGAGUAGCGGCGGUCGUCGUUUGACGCUGCUCGUCUUCUGGCAAACGUCUUCGCGCACUUCGUCACUUUCGCUUCUCAUUUCCAGUGAAUCACCAGUCUGUGACGCUUUUCGGUCUGAAGCAGCUUGCUCCAUUAUAUAUUUGAACUGGGCACUAGGGACCGGACGACGAUCAUGACGCCCCAAACGACUGCCCAGAUCCAGCCAACAAUGGGUAACAGCAACUGGAGAACGCCAAUCAUCAUGUUGACGACGUCGCUUUGCAUGAAACCGAUGACGAUCAUUCCAAGUCCGAAGAAAAAACAGUUCAGGAUGCCCAGGAGGAUGUACGCCGCCUUGUCCUUUGGGCUUGGUGGCUCGGGCACGCGGAAGUGCAGGGUUCGUUGGAAGACGUCGCUCGCCGACAUCGUGCUAAUGCUAGUGGAGUCUGCACCUGGCGUAGGUGCGAACGGCAGUUUAUCUCCGAUGGGGAAUGCAGAUCCGCUGAAAGAAGGCAGAGACGAAAAUGUGAUGAGUUAUCAGAUGCUCUGACUGGUCGGCAAUUGCGCUUUAAUCCCCCUGCAGCGAGGCACGAGAACACGUUCCAGUGUAUCUACAGGAAGGGGCGCAGGACACAAGGCUGACGUAGCAGCUGGGCUUGUUUCGCAGCGUCAUCCAUGACUGUCGUUUUGACUGCGGAUCAAGGCUCACGCAGUGUCUAACGUUUGCCACAUUCAUGCAAGUCCUGGUGAAAACCUUUGAAAACCUCCCUGCUUGCAGACUCUCAUGAAUCUAGC
rnacentral:lncRNA from 1 species